UACGGGGGGGGGCAAGCGUUGUUCGGAAUUACUGGGCGUAAAGGGCGCGUAGGCGGUGCUCUAAGUUAGAUGUGAAAACUCUGGGCUCAACCCAGAGCCUGCAUCUAAAACUGGAGUGCUAGAGUUCUGGAGGGGGUAGCGGAAUUCCUGGUGUAGCGGUGAAAUGCGUAGGAUAAUCUGGAGGAACACCGGUGGCGAAGGCGGCGAUCCUGGACCAAUUC
rnacentral:rRNA from 1 species